AUGAGAAAGUUGGGUCUCCUCCUGUGCCUGCUGACAGCACCCCAAGGUGUCUGGUCCCAGGUGCAGCUAAAGGAGUCAGGUCCCGGAACGCUGAAGCCCUCACAGACCCUCUCCCUCACUUACACCAUCUCCGGAGCCUCUAACAUAUUCAGUUAUGGUGACUGGGGCUGGAUCUGCCAACUUCCAGGGAAAGUGCUGGAGUGGAUGGGGAGAAUAGAUUGUGAUGGAAGCACUUACUACAGCCUGUCCCUCAAGAGCCGAGCCUCUAUCUCCAGAGACACCUCCGAGAACCAGUUCUCUCUUCAGCUCAACUCCGUGACCACCAAGGACUCAGCUGUUUAUUACUGUGUAGGAGGCACAUAUCCUGCUGCACAUGUGGAUGACGUGUCUCUGGCCACCAAAACCCAGGCUAUAGGAGAUCCAGUCUUACAUCUUAAGGCCUUUGUCACCAUGCAGCUCCUUUCUGGAAUCGCCACCUUGGAGGAGAUGGAGCGCUAUCAGGGACGGCCUUGA